UUUUAAUAAUUACAUUAUCAUGGUUUCAUUCUUUCAAAAUUCUGACUGGUGAGGCUCAAAUUUGCUGAGAUGGUGUGUGAGGCUUGUUAACAUGCAUGCAACAAACUGCGUGUGCAGAAACAGAAACCCACACAAAUUAAGGAUGAAUUUGGGAAAUUAAAAAAUAUUUGCACUUGGGAAGAUGGCUGUUGUGCCUAAUUCCACCAAUUCUUGUAUUGAGCUUGCUGAUCUGAAUCUGAUGGACUUUCUCCCUUCUACUCCAUGUGGAAUGGGGUUGCUGCAGUUUCCAAACAAAAGCCUCUUUCACAUCUCAGCUUAUGUUUGAAUUUGGAUUGCUAAGCUUGUGCAAGUGACAUUCCUUUUCCAUCAUUCAUUGCAGCUGCUGGAAUUGUCUUGAUUUCUAGUCCCCCGGUCAUAUUGUCUUCUUAACUAGAAUUGGAAGCCGUGCUUACUGAUUGUGGUUUGUAAUAUCCAUAUUAUAUUGGCCGAUAUGGCCAUGUAUCUUUAUCAGCUUUGUAUCAACUUGAUACAAUAUGCGAUAUGGGGUCGAAAUGGCUUGAAGAAAAAUAAAAAAAUAAAAAAGUCUUAUAUUAUCAGUC